AACACAUGCAAGUCGAACGGUAACAGGAUGUGCUUGCACAUCGCUGACGAGUGGCGGACGGGUGAGUAAUGCUUGGGAACUUGCCUUUGCGAGGGGGAUAACAGUUGGAAACGACUGCUAAUACCGCAUAAUGUCUUCGGACCAAACGGGGCUUCGGCUCCGGCGCAAAGAGAGGCCCAAGUGAGAUUAGCUAGUUGGUAAGGUAACGGCUUACCAAGGCGACGAUCUCUAGCUGUUCUGAGAGGAAGAUCAGCCACACUGGGACUGAGACACGGCCCAGACUCCUACGGGAGGCAGCAGUGGGGAAUAUUGCACAAUGGGGGAAACCCUGAUGCAGCCUGCCGCGUGUGUGAAGAAGGCCUUCGGGUUGUAAAGCACUUUCAGUUGUGAGGAAAAGUUAGUAGUUAAUACCUGCUACCGUGACGUUACACAGAAGAGCACCGGCUACUCCGUGCCAGCACCGCGGUAUCGGAGGGUGCGAGCGUUAAUCCGAAUUACUGGCCGUAA
rnacentral:rRNA from 1 species